rnacentral:ribozyme from 1 species
GCAUUCACACACGUGGAAGAAUUAUUACAAGCUCGAUUGGGAGUCUCACCGAGGAAACGGAACA